GAGCAGUCAACAUGUAGCAGACAAAGGAGUUGCAGGUCCAGCAUUCCCCGAACCCAGGACCACUGUUUCAGGAAUAGAACCACUCACAAUGGAAUGAGCUCUCCCGUGUCAAUCACAAAUUAAGAAAAUGUUUCACAGUUGUAUCUUAUGGAGCUCUUUUGUCAGUGGUAUGUAUUUCCACUGAUUGUGUUUUCUUGUCAUUUAAGAUGUUUUCCCCAACCUUGAGGCUGGCUAUCCAAAAAGCCCAGUGGAUCCUUCUGGUCUCCAUUGAUGAAAGGAAUGUCUAGAUCCAUCUCCCAUGAUUGUGCUAGCAUCUGAACUCAGGUCAUCAUGCUUAUUUAUCAUGUGCAUUUACUCAUUGAGUCAUCUCUUUCCAGUCUCUUAAG
rnacentral:lncRNA from 1 species